UGGGGAAUAUUGGACAAUGGGGGCAACCCUGAUCCAGCCAUGCCGCGUGAGUGAUGAAGGCCUUCGGGUUGUAAAGCUCUUUUUGGCGGGGACGAUGAUGACGGUACCCGCAGAAUAAGCCCCGGCUAACUUCGUGCCAGCAGCCGCGGUAAGACGAAGGGGGCUAGCGUUGUUCGGAAUUACUGGGCGUAAAGCGAGUGUAGGCGGUUGCCGUAGUCAGGUGUGAAAGCCUUGAGCUCAACUCAAGAAAUGCACUUGAUACUGGGUGACUAGAGGACCGGAGAGGAUAGUGGAAUUCCCAGUGUAGUGGUGAAAUACGUAGAGAUUGGGAAGAACACCAGUGGCGAAGGCGGCUAUCUGGACGGUUACUGACGCUAAGACUCGAAAGCGUGGGGAGCAAACAGGAUUAGAUACCCUGGUAGUCCACGCCGUAAACGAUGGGUGCUAGACGUUGGCGAGCUUGCUCGUCAGUGUCGCAGCU
rnacentral:rRNA from 1 species